rnacentral:rRNA from 1 species
GCGUAAUAGCUCACUGGUCGAGUGACUCUGCGCCGAAAAUUCAACGGGGCUAAAAUUCAUACCGAAGCUUGGGCUUGACAGUAAUGUCAGGGGUAGGGGAGCGUCGUAUACGAGGUGAAGUCAUAGCGGAAGCGGUGGUGGAUUGUAUACGAGUGAGAAUGCCGGAAUGAGUAGCGAAAAUUAUGUGAGAAUCAUAAUGGCCGAAAGUCUAAGGUUUCCUGAGGAAGGUUCGUCCUCUCAGGGUUAGCCGGGAGCUAAGGUGAGGCGGAAACGCGUAGCCGAUGCACAUACGGUAGAAAUUCCGUAGCCUCCGAAGAUUUAAGCACAGGGACACUUUUGAAGGGCUGAGCCGGGCGUUGGUUGCCCCGGUCGAAAGGGACACGAGUGAGUGGAAGUCAGUUUGGAAAGAGGCGAGAAAAGCUGUGUGUAUAUGGAAGGAGCCCGUACCGCAAACCGACACAGGUAGACAGGAAGAAGAUUCUAAGGCCAGCGGGAGAAGGGUUGUUAAGGAACUCGGCAAGUUGACCCCGUAACUUCGGGAGAAGGGGUGCUUACGAAGGUAAGCCGCAGAGAAUAGGCCCAAGCGACUGUUUAGCAAAAACACAGCUCUAUGCUAAAUCGAAAGAUGACGUAUAUGGGGUGACACCUGCCCGGUGCUGGAAGGUUAAGAGGAGAUGUCAUCGCAAGAGAAGCAUUGAAUUGAAGCCCCAGUAAACGGCGGCCGUAACUAUAACGGUCCUAAGGUAGCGAAAUUCCUUGUCAGGUAAGUUCUGACCCGCACGAAUGGUGUAACGAUUUGGGCACUGUCUCAACAACCCACCCGGCGAAAUUGUAGUACCGGUGAAGAUGCCGGUUACCCGCGACUAGACGGAAAGACCCCAUGGAGCUUCACUGCAGCUUAAUAUUGGAUUUCGGUAUUUCAUGUACAGGAUAGGUGGGAGACUGGGAAAUACAGGCGUCAGCUUGUAUGGAGUCAUUGUUGGGAUACCACUCUUGAGGUGCUGGAAUUCUAACCUGUGGCCUUGAAUCAGGUCAGGGGACAUUGUUAGGCGGGCAGUUUGACUGGGGCGGUCGCCUCCUAAAAGGUAACGGAGGCGCUCAAAGGUUCGCUCAGCAUGGACGGAAACCAUGCCAGAGAGUGCAAACGCAUAAGCGAGCCUAACUGCGAGACUGACGGGUCGAGCAGUAACG